CUGCUGAUACCAAUUUUGCAAGACUGGGUGCAUGUGUGCAGACAACCAGAUUUCAUCUCUACUGCUUCCUGGCUGACAGCAACCCUGCUGAUCCCAGGAGUACUCCUCAACAAAUCUGCAACAUGGUCAUCUCCGACUCCGUAUCUGCUUCCAGAGAACCCAACGUGUAGCAGUUGAUGGAAGGCAUGGCCCAAGAAAUUAGCCAUGAGGAUGGAAUUUUGGAGCUGCAUCAUUUGCCACCCAGCUAACUGUGAGGACUGCCAUCCUUGGUGUAGGAGGUGCAGCAUGAAGCAGUUGGGCUCUGACAAAGAGCCUUUUGGAAGCAAAGAUAAAUACACAAUGGACAAGGAAUACCUUCUCAUGGGUCUGCAUGCAUUCGCCUGUACAAGGAGAAGAUGGCUGUCUGCAAACCAGGAAGAGUGUACUCACUAGAUACCAGAUCUGCCAGAGCCUUGAUCUUCAACUUCCCAGCCUACAGAACAACAGGAGAAGAUGGCGGAAGAGUAGGACAUGGAGAUCACCUUCCUCCCCACAGAUACAUCAGAAAUACAUCUACACGUGGAACUACUCCUAUAGAACACCCACUGAACGCUGGCAGAAGACC